ensembl:lncRNA
CAGGAGAGCAGUGCGCCCCUCCCAAGAGGGGGCUCGAGGGGCGGGGCCGACGCGCGCAGAAAGCGCGUCACUUCCGGCUGCCAAAACACAAAAAAGUGCUGCGGAAUCCGCUCAGUGGAGAUAGCAGAGUACACGGGCGGUUUUCCUGAGGACAACUCAAAAGAAAGGAAUCUUGUAUCCUGGGAAAGCCAAACACAGUCUCAAGUGCAAGUGCAGGAUGAUGAGAUUACAAAAGAUGAUCUCCGCCUUAUUCACGAGAGAGAGUCUUCUAUCAGGCAGUUUGAAUGCAUAAGAAUUCAUUCUUGAGGGCAGCCAAUAUUUUGGCCCUGGCCCCUCAAGGUCAACAAAGAAUCCAGGACAUGUGGGAACCUUUUCUACAGGAUCCUACAUCAUGGACUCAAAGCCUACCCAAGAUGACAAUGCCUGCUGCCUAUCAAGGGCCUUUAGAUGACCCUCUGUAGAGUAACUCUGACUGCUGAUCACAACUAUGACCCUCUCCAGCUGGAAGUAGCCAGAACAGUCUUCGCCCUUUGCCCUCUCACAGCAUUUAGGGGUCCUUCUUCAGAGGGAGAAAUAUUGCAGAUAGGAAAAAAGCCAGGCUUGGUGGCACAUCCUGUAAUCCCAGCACCCAGGAGACUGAGGCAGGAGGAUCCUAAAUUCAAGGCCAGCCUGGGCUACAUGCAUACACCUAUGCUGUGUGUCCCAGAGGGAUCAGACGCAGGCUCUGUUCUCAGUCUGCUCCCGCCCAUUUUGAUGGCCAGCUUCCAGUCUUCAGGGUGUCUCCUGUCGAAGCCCAGCUGUCCCCUGCAAGAGGAGUGCCGAGGUGCUGCCGUCCACGUCAGAGAACUCGCUCCACGAAUCCAUCAUCAUUUUGCAUUUUGGGGUUCCCACCGGCUCUCGGUCCUUGUCUGCAUGUGUUCUAUAAAGGCAUGUGCCACACCUUCAACUGGGCCGCACCUCUGCACAGUGCCUGCAGUGACAGCCUUGGGGCACAACUCUGCUCCUGGCAGGGCCUGUGAUCUGGUCACCUGUCACCAGAGUCUGUAUCCAGUCAGUGUAAUGGUCACAGGUUGUUCACGAGAACAUGUAUAAAACACAAAAUUCCCA